rnacentral:lncRNA from 1 species
GUCAAGUUUCGUGAUUUUUAGACCUCGUAUAGAUUUAAUAUAAUUUUAAAUCAAUUUUAUGAAAAGUGGCUAAUCAUGUCACGCGUAAAAGAUCCGCGGAAUUUGAUUCGAGUUUGUGCGUAGGGACUCCACACACAUCAAAUAACAUGAAUAACAUUUUUCGAAACACUACAAUUAAUUAUUUCAUGCACCUGCAGUUCAAAUUUAUAAUAGCGGGAAAAGUACGAGGACUUGAAAUAAAUUCAAGAAAUAUAUAUAUAAAAGUGAAAUUUGUGCCAAUUUUUAAAAUUGUGUUUAAAACAAUGUGAUUUGUGCCCACAAAAAAAUUUCACUCAAAAAUCCAAAAAAAAAUUUGUCGAGGGCUAAGCAUGGCCCUCGGCAAAGGGGGUCUUUGCCGAGGGCCACAGGAAAGGCCCUCGGCAAAGAAUUUUGUAAAAAAAAAAAUUAAAAACCUUUGCUGAGGGCUUUGUAUCUGGGCCCUCGGCAAAGGGCGAAACCCUAACUACCCGCGCGCUGCCUGGGCCAAGGCCCA